rnacentral:rRNA from 1 species
UACGAAGGGUGCAAGCGUUACUCGGAAUUACUGGGCGUAAAGCGUGCGCAGGCGGUGAUGUAAGACAGGUGUGAAAUCCCCGGGCUUAACCUGGGAACUGCGUUUCUAACUGGCAGGCUUGAGUGUGGCAGAGGGGGGGUGGAAUUCCACGUGUAGCAGUGAAAUGCGUAGAGAUGUGGAGGAACACCGAUGGCGAAGGCAGCCCCCUGGGCUAACACUGACGCUCAUGCACGAAAGCGUGGGGAGCAAACAGG